GAUGAACGCUAGCGGGAGGCCUAACACAUGCAAGCCGAGCGGUAUUUGUUCUUCGGAACAGAGAGAGCGGCGCACGGGUGCGGAACACGUGUGCAACCUGCCUUUAUCUGGGGGAUAGCCUUUCGAAAGGAAGAUUAAUACCCCAUAAUAUAUUGAGUGGCAUCAUUUGAUAUUGAAAACUCCGGUGGAUAGAGAUGGGCACGCGCAAGAUUAGAUAGUUGGUGAGGUAACGGCUCACCAAGUCAAUGAUCUUUAGGGGGCCUGAGAGGGUGAUCCCCCACACUGGUACUGAGACACGGACCAGACUCCUACGGGAGGCAGCAGUGAGGAAUAUUGGACAAUGGGGUAGCGCCUGAUCCAGCCAUCCCGCGUGAAGGACGACGGCCCUAGGGGUUGUAAACUUCUUUUGUAUAGGGAUAAACCUACUCUCGUGAGAGUAGCUGAAGGUACUAUACGAAUAAGCACCGGCUAACUCCGUG
rnacentral:rRNA from 1 species